CGCACGCCACAAGAUAUCUACAUCGGCCGUGCAGUCGACGCUCGCCAGCCAGUCGAGCAUUUCCACGUCGCCCCGGUCGAUAGCCAGUAGGCAGGCCUCGGUACCGAGAUGAAUGUGCCCUGAUGCGUAAAGCCGCGAAACGAGCGACAGCGAAAGACCGGCGCUGCUGCACCGUCGCAGAGCGGCGACGCGCACGGGCACGAUACCCGCAUCCAGGCAAACCCGCACCGUACGGUCGGCGCCAUAAAAGAUCGCACGAUCGACGGCCGACGGGAGCCACUGGGUGGCGCCGUGAUCGAGUGCAUACUUGAUGAUGUCGGCGUGGUCAUGAGCGCCAGCGCUCCUCAUCCGCUUUUCCUUGUCCCACGGGAGUGCGCCGACGCGAGAGGCCCAGGCGAUGACGGGCAUCGGAGGAGGGUACGUCCAGUGGCCGUGAGAAAAUACCAGCGGCGCAAUGUCUCGUGCCGCAUAGCCGAGGCCCUCUACGAGCCAAUCGAGCACGUCGACGUGACCGGCCAGGCCGGCAGCGUAGACGAUCGAGUGCAGGUCGGAUGCGUUCCAGUGCCUCUGGUGGGCGUGCGCCCAUGCGAGUCCCUCGACGUCUCCCGUCUCUGCGAGUGCCGUCCACAAUGCGGGGCCGGCAACGCCGUCGGCAUGUGCCUCGUAGAGGACCGCACGGCAUCCGCGCCCAAUGGCCAGGCUGGCCGAGAGAGAGGUCCACCGACAGCCGCGAUCGCGCAGCCAGACAACCCACUCUGCGUCGAAAAGAUCGGCACCGGCGACGGCCCCCAACAGGCAGUUCCUAUAAUGGAGGUCCUUCGCACAAAAUUGAAGCGCGCCGAUCAACCACAUGGCCCACUGUCGCCGGCCGGUGCGAAUCGCGUCGACGACCUCCUGGAAGAGCGCCCCCGGUUGGCGACGCGUGGCCUCGCGGGUCCAACAAUAACGUCGCCCUAGGACGAUCUGCCGUCGCCACGACCGACAAACCCAAAAGGCCGCGAGACGAUCGCGGCGGUCGGUAAAGGCCACGAGAAUGUAGCGCAACAAUUCGACGGGCAGGUCGCCGAUGGCGGGGGAUUCGCAUUGCAUGAUCGGACUUGGCGCGUGGUCCGUAAAAGAGGUAUGCUUCCGGCGGCACGACGGACGUACCGCCUUCCCGUGUCUCCCUCUGUGCUACC
rnacentral:lncRNA from 1 species